GGACUUCAGAGGAAGUAAAAUUAAAAACAGGCCUUCAGGCCAAGUGCAGUGGCUCAUGCCUCUAAUCCCAGCACUUUGGGAUGCCGAGGCUGGGUGAUGGCUUGAGCCUAGGAGUUUAAGACCACUCUGGGCAACAUAGGGAGACUCUGUCUCUACAACAAAUACAAAAAUUAGCUGAGCAUGAGCCUGUAGUCCCAUCUACUCAGGAGGCUGAGGUGGGAGGAUCUCUUAAGAGGUUGAGGCUGCACUGAACUGAGACUGCACCACCGCACUCCAGCCCACAUGACAAAGUGAGACCCCCGUCUCCAAAAACAACAACUAAAAACAGACCUUCAAAGAAGAGCAGGAUUUAGACUGGCAGAAGUGAAAGUUUUUUGAAGCGUUAAGUCUCAGGACAAGUUAGAGGCAGAAGAAUGCUUGGAGAACAAUGAGUAAUUUGUCACAGACUUAUAGGAAUGUAGGGCCCUAAUUGUUAUGCAAAGGAAUCCACACUUGAUUACACAUCCAAUAGGGUAUCACUGAACAAUUCAGUAUACUUCUGGUGGAAGAGAGAACAUUUACUUAUUAAUUUUCUAGUCUCAUUUUUUUAAGAGAUUAAAAGCUGAAUUUUUCUUUAUUAUCACAAAAUCCAAUCAUACGGUUUAAAAUAUUUUUAAAUAUAAAAACCUAUAGUUGGCCGGGUGCAGCGGCUCAUGCCUGUAAUCCCAGCACUUUGGGAGGUCGAGGUGGGUGGAUCACAAGGUCAGGAGUUCGAGACCAGCCUGGCCAAUAUGGUGAAACCUCGUCUCUACUAAAAAUACAAAAAAAUUAGCCAGGCGUGGUGGCA
rnacentral:lncRNA from 10 species